UGGGGAAUAUUGCACAAUGGGCGAGAGCCUGAUGCAGCAACGCCGCGUGAGUGAUGAAGGUCUUCGGAUUGUAAAGCUCUGUCUUUUGGGACGAUAAUGACGGUACCAAAGGAGGAAGCCACGGCUAACUACGUGCCAGCAGCCGCGGUAAUACGUAGGUGGCGAGCGUUGUCCGGAUUUACUGGGCGUAAAGGGUGCGUAGGCGGAUGUUUAAGUGAGAUGUGAAAUACCCGGGCUUAACUUGGGUGCUGCAUUUCAAACUGGAUAUCUAGAGUGCAGGAGAGGAGAAUGGAAUUCCUAGUGUAGCGGUGAAAUGCGUAGAGAUUAGGAAGAACACCAGUGGCGAAGGCGAUUCUCUGGACUGUAACUGACGCUGAGGCACGAAAGCGUGGGUAGCAAACAGGAUUAGAUACCCUGGUAGUCCACGCCGUAAACGAUGAGUACUAGGUGUAGGAGGUAUCGACCCCUUCUGUGCCGCAGUAAACACAUUAAGUACUCCGCCUGGGAAGUACGAUCGCAAGAUUAAAAACUCU
rnacentral:rRNA from 1 species